rfam:Coccomyxa subellipsoidea C-169, whole genome shotgun sequence.
GGAUGGUUGCCGGAGUGGUCUAACGGGCGGGCCUUAAGAUCCCGUAGGCGAAAGUCUGCGUGGGUUCGAACCCCACACCAUCCA